AAAGGAUGCCCAUCCAACUGGUAGGGAGCGGAGGUCGCCCAAAAAGGCGGAUGUUGACUCCAUAGGAGUCUCAAACAGUACGCUUGUUAGUAAGAGCAGCAGGAGCAAGAAGAUCCUGGAUAUACUUCUCUUAGCAAAUAAAGAAGCCAUCAAAGGUAGACUCUGGGAAGUAGCGAUGAGGACCAAUGUCAGACAUAAGAAACUCACUGUGACGAGCCUUCACCAAGGCAAUGUAUUUAAGAGUCGUGCAGGAUCAUGAGCACUCGUUGAAAAACGAGCCGCAUUAACCACAGAGACAACACUCAAACCAGGCAUGAGGGGUUUGCUUGAGACCAUAUAGAAAACGUCGAACAGGACAAACCAUGCCAGCUGGAAAAGAAUACCCAAGUGGUGGCUACAUGUAGGCAUUGUUGACAUCAAGUUGAGAGAGAGAGAGAUACUAUGUUGGCAAACAAAAACCACAUCGGAAAGUGUGCCAAAAGUGGUCAUCUGGGCCAUAUUGGAGCAAAUGUCUGAUCGUAAUUCAAACUAUAUGUUCUCACUACUAGACGAGCUUUGUAAAGCUCUAGAGAAACAUCAUAGUCUCACCCUUGUGGGCCCAGUUACAAGUGAUGAGACGAGCAAGAGGAGGAAGGGAAAUGAGAUUCCACUAGCCGACGAGGGGAAGAUCAUUUGAUGCCAUCACAUGCUGCCAUUGUGGAUGAAAAAACGUCCUGAUAAGAAGUCGUCUUGCGAAGAGCACCGCAAUAACUAACCAUUGCAGUCAAUAGGCAGAAGCGGGCGAGCAUGAAAGCCAUAAGUAGGCUGAUCUGGAGCUAUGUGUUGCCAACAGAAGAAGACAUAGUAGUUGAGGGAGAUGACUCAUUAGAAGAAUCCACAGCACGCGAACAAUGAGUGUAGUAAAGUCAAGGUAGAUGAGCAAAAGAAGGAACAUGCAAAGACAAACUGCCAAGAGUGCCUCGACUAUCGACUGGCAGGGAAGUUACAUUGAGAGUAAAAACAUGAACAUGAGAAUCUAGAUGUGGAAUACGCAAGUGGUGGCUGCACGUAAAACCCCUCACAAAAUUCACCAUUAAAAAAGACAUUCUUAACAUCAAGCCGAAUCGGAGUGACGAAUAAAGGCCGCAACAAGAUGUGUGUGAACAAUUGUCGUAUGGCCUGCAUGAGCAGAAACUCUCAUCGUAAUUAGGACCACGAUUCUACUGAAAGCCACGAGCCACAAGACGAGUUUUGUAAUGUUCAAGAGAACCAUCAGAGCGAGUCUUAACCUUGUAGACGCACCAAGUAAUGGGACGAACACGAGGACGAAGGGACACAAUAUCCGAUGUGCUAAUGCGCUCAACAGUAGCAAUAUCCUCUACCAUGGCAAGGCGCCAUUUGGUAUGAAUAACAUCAAGAUAAGAAGUCUGCUCAAGAAAGUAGCGCCAACGUUUCAUAGCCUAAGGUGGUCAACAGACAAAAGUGGACGAGGUCGCAAGCCAUAAGAAGGCCGAGACGGAGAAGAUGGCACAUCAAUAGAUGCAUCCACAAUACACGAACGGCGUGUAUAAAAAUGAGGCAAAUGUGGAAGAAUACGAGCAAGAAUCAUCGAGAUAAACUCAGGUUAUGGAGACAAGUCACCGGUGAUGAAAGUUUAGAAUCCCCGUGAUAAGCGAAGUGAGGAAAUCAUAGGAGAUGAUGGUGUUGAAUUUGUAAUAAUUGGAGAACCAGGAGCAGUACGAGGAAUGGAUUAGGGCUCAACAAUAGUGAUAGGAGUGUCGGGAAAAGUGAGGCAACACAUCCUCCAUUGAAAUGGUUGGGCAUGAUGGUCACACGUAGAAAGGUCGAGACUCAAUAAAAGUCAUACCGUGAGAAAUAGUCACCCAAUGACCAACAUGAUCCUAACGACAGUAUCUCUUAUGCUCAUUGUUGUAUCCUAUGAACACUCAACAAACUAAGUAGUAAGUUUGGUACAUUCACGAUAGGUAGUAAGGGCACAUCAAACACAACCAAACAAUUGAAGCGCUGAAUAAUCUGGAAACGAUCAAAUAGACUCUCGAAAGGAGAUGACCGUGGUGGAAGUGGAGACGCAUUCAACCCAAAAGUGUGGCGUAAGAGAGGCAGUGACCAUCGAAAAGUGUGGCGUAAGAGAGGCAGUGACCAUCGAAAAGUGUGGCGUAAGAGAGGCAGUGACCAUCGAAAAGUGUGGCGGAAGAGAGAGCAAUGACAUUGAACCUACGAGCCGUCUCAAUAGUUGACGAUGCUUGCCCUCAGCCAUGCCAUUUCUGAGUAUGAGCACCAGGAUAAGAGAACUGAGCAAGACCAGCCUGCUCAACAAGGAUUGAACGCAACAUCUUGGAGAUUUAUUCUCCACCAGAGUCAUCAUAGUAUACAAGAAUAGGCGUAGAGAACUUGGUGUGAACCAUGGAAGCAAAACGCUUACACAGAUAAGACCUCCCUACGAAAGGAAAUAAAGUAUAUCCAGGUGUGUCGAGAGAAGCCAUCUAUAAAUAUAGUACUAGCGAUGACCUCCUUUCGAGGCGAAAGGAGAUGGACCCUAGACAUCAAAGUGAACAAGGUUGAAAGGAUGUUGAGACACUGUCUCGCUAUGAGCAUAAGGUAACUAUAGCUGUUUACCAAGCCGACAACCCAGACAGGUUAGAGACAUCGUCUGAGACUGAUCCAAGAAGACCACGUCAAACUAAGGAUGCGAGAUGAGAGCCACACAAGUGACCCAGGCGACGAUGGCACUUCUAAGCAUAGCUGGUAGACAAGGUAACAGAGGUGGAGAGACUAGCGGCUGUAGCAGCAGAGUCACUUGAUCCAGCAUCCUACGUGCCUGUGCGCUCUCCGUUACUCACCGAUCCGGCUUGGUGUGCUUCUCCUGUUUGCGGGUUGUGUGCCACGCACUUGAUUAAGCACCCCACGUUCUCCUACAGUGCGCCCUUGACCCUGGCUUUAGGUAGCGCCGUGUCCUCGGCUUGCCGUGCAUAAUCCAGGUAUGCGCCGACUGUCCGAGCUCCUGCUCACCAUUGGUGUUGCUCGAGCGUGGGUUCUGGUGUCGCCCAUAAAGGGAACACGGGAUGUGGGAUUGAGACAGUUCACAUAGCAACCCACAAGGCAAAGGAUGCCCAUCCAACUGGUAGGGAGCGGAGGUCGCCCAAAAAGGCGGAUGUUGACUCCAUAGGAGUCUCAAACAGUACGCUUGUUAGUAAGAGCAGCAGGAGCAAGAAGAUCCUGGAUAUACUUCUCUUAGCAAAUAAAGAAGCCAUCAAAGGUAGACUCUGGGAAGUAGCGAUGAGGACCAAUGUCAGACAUAAGAAACUCACUGUGACGAGCCUUCACCAAGGCAAUGUAUUUAAGAGUCGUGCAGGAUCAUGAGCACUCGUUGAAAAACGAGCCGCAUUAACCACAGAGACAACACUCAAACCAGGCAUGAGGGGUUUGCUUGAGACCAUAUAGAAAACGUCGAACAGGACAAACCAUGCCAGCUGGAAAAGAAUACCCAAGUGGUGGCUACAUGUAGGCAUUGUUGACAU
rnacentral:lncRNA from 1 species